GGGCUGGCGCCUGGAGGAAGAUGCGGGGCGCCCCGAGGGCUGGGCCAGGUUCCGGGGCGCCCGGGGGUGACCUGCCCGCGCCGACCCUUCCUCUGCAGCCCCGGCAGAGUGGACUCGGAGUGACGCUCUGUGCAGGCUGGACGGCCCUGCCUCGGAGGGACCGACAUGGGCACACGAGGAGACGGCCCCGGGGCGUUCCUGGGGACCCCGCUAGCGAGAGGGGCGACCGGAGGCGGCCCGAAUGGGGGAGUCGGAUGGCCUGCCCGCACCGUGGAUCCGCGGGCCGCGACUACAGGAAAACGGUCCCGAUGUAGGGGACUGGCUGGUUAUCCGCGUAGAUAGAACGCGGAGGCGCCUGUGAUCAAACAAGAGGGGACGACACGUGCCAUUUAGUAAAGCAAAGGGAGAGACAAAGCAGGAUAAGCACUUCCCAUGUCCUUAAAGUGGCUCUUUCAUCAGUGAGGACAGACACACCCUCUGGUGCAGGAAGCUGUGCGUGUGGAGGGGCAGAGCGCGUGUGGGAACCCUCUAGACUGAGCACUCAUUUUUGCUGUGAACCUAAAAUUGCUAAAAAAAAAAAAA